UACGUAGGGGGCGAGCGUUGUCCGGAUUCAUUGGGCGUAAAGAGCUCGUAGGCGGCUGUUCAAGUCGCUUGUGAAAACUCGGAGCUCAACUCCGAGCCUGCGUUCGAUACUGGACGGCUAGAGUCUGGUAGGGGGACCUGGAAUUCCUGGUGUAGCGGUGGAAUGCGCAGAUAUCAGGAGGAACACCGGUGGCGAAGGCGGGGUCCUGGGCCAGUACUGACGCUGAGGAGCGAAAGCGUGGGGAGCAAACAGG
rnacentral:rRNA from 1 species